rnacentral:rRNA from 1 species
AUUGAACGCUGGCGGCAGGCCUAACACAUGCAAGUCGAGCGGAUGAAGGGAGCUUGCUCCUGGAUUCAGCGGCGGACGGGUGAGUAAUGCCUAGGAAUCUGCCUGGUAGUGGGGGAUAACGUCCGGAAACGGGCGCUAAUACCGCAUACGUCCUGAGGGAGAAAGUGGGGGAUCUUCGGACCUCACGCUAUCAGAUGAGCCUAGGUCGGAUUAGCUAGUUGGUGGGGUAAAGGCCUACCAAGGCGACGAUCCGUAACUGGUCUGAGAGGAUGAUCAGUCACACUGGAACUGAGACACCGUCCAGACUCCUACGGGAGGCAGCAGUCGGGAAUAUUGGACAAUGGUCGAAAGCCUUAUUCAGCCAUGCCGCGUGUGUGAAAAAGGUCUUCCGAUUGUAAAGCCCGUUUAGUUGGGAGGAACGGCAGUAAGUUAAGACCUUGCUUUUUUGACGGUACCGACAGAAUAAGCACCGGCUAACUUCGUG